GCUCACCUGAAUCCAGAGGGUCAGAGUGUCCGGGCGACUGGGAGCUGAUGGGGGGGGAACUUGGGGGUCCCCAUGGUGGUGGCUGUGGCCAUGGUGGGGGUCCCCAUGUUGAUGAUGGGGGUCCCCAUGUUGAUGGCCAUGGCCAUGGUAGGGGUCUCUAUGGGGGUCCCCAUGGUGGUGGCCAUGAUGGGGGUCCUCAUGAUGAUGGUAGGGGUCCCCAUGGCCAUGAUGGGGGUCCCCAUGGCUGUGGUGGGGGUCCCUAUGGGGGUCCCCAUGUUGAUGGCCAUGAUGGGGGUCCCCAUGUUGAUGGCCAUGAUGGGGGUCCCCAUGGCCGUGGUGGGGGUCCCUAUGGGGGUCCCCAUGUUGAUGAUGGGGGUCCCUAUGGGGGUCCCCAUGUUGAUGGUGGGGGUCCCUAUGGGGGUCCCCAUGUUGAUGGCCAUGAUGGGGGUCCCCAUGGCCAUAGUAGGGGUCCGUAUGGGGGUCCCCAUGGCCAUAGUGGGGGUCCCUAUGGGGGUCCCCAUGUGAAUGGCCAUGGUGGGGGUCCCCAUGGCUGUGGUGGGGGUCCCUAUGGGGGUCCCCAUGUUGAUGGUGGGGGUCCCUAUGGGGGUCCCCAUGGCUGUGGUGGGGGUCUCUAUGGGGGUCCCCAUGUUGAUGGCCAUGGCCAUGGUGGGGGUCCCUAUGGGGGUCCCCAUGUUGAUGGUGGGGGUCCCCAUGUGAGUGUCCAUGCUGGGGGUCUUCGUGUUGGUGCCCACGACUAAACAUGGCCGUCAAGGUGUGGCCGUGGCCGCUGUCCACAUGGAGCUGGUGCUGACCAUGGCCGAGGUCCUCCCGGUGAUGGCCGAGGUCCUCCCGGUGAUGGCCGAAGUCCUCCCGGUGAUGGCGGAAGUCCUCCCGGUGAUGGCGGAAGUCCUCCUGGUGAUGGCGGUCCCCGUGAGAGGCGGAAGGGAGGAGGCAGAGAGCCAGAGUGGCGGCCAUGAUGGCGGCCAUGUUGGAGGCCGCUGGUUCCCGGGGCUGGAGGACCGUCGCCAUUGAAGCUGUGGGGGGAGAUCUGCCAUUGGGGUCAAUGGUGGGACUAUAGAGAUGGGGGAGAUAGAGCGGCUAUGGGGGGAGAUCUGCCAUUGGGAUCAAUGGUGGGAUCAUAGAGAUGGGGGAGAUAGAGCGGCUAUGGGGAGAGAUCUGCCAUUGGGGUCAAUGGUGGGAUCAUAGAGAUGGGGGAGAUAGAGCGGCUAUGGGGGGAGAUCUGCCAUUGGG
rnacentral:lncRNA from 1 species